CUGCAUACAGCUCCUCACACCCGUUGGGGCUCACUGCUGCGAGAUGCCAUCGUUUUGCUGGCAGUGAAAUGCCACCUCUAAGCCUUGUCCCUUGCAGCUCCUGUCUGGUUUGUGCGUGGUAGCAGUUUUCUCUGCAUGUGGAGCUGAAGUCACGUCUCCGAGCUUGGUCUCCUCUGUUUUGUUCAUGGCCUGGGAUGUGUCUCUGGACGCUCUGCGGUUCUGCGUCUCCUUAGACUCCCUGGACACUUUCUGAUCCAGAACCAUUUGCCACGGCAGCUGCUCAUCCGUGUCUAGCCAGGGCUCAGACCCAUGACUUGACUGACACGAAAGCUUUCCAGCUUCAGAGACUGAAAGAGACAAAUGAGCAAUUUGCUGGGAAAUUAUCCUUUGGGAUUCCUCCUCUCUCCAAGCAACUUAAUUGGUGCUACCAGCUGCUGUGCCCAAUCCACGAGGGGCCGCCCCUGGCAGUGACAGCAAGCCAUCAAGCCCGAGCCCGUCUCCCCGCUCUGACGGAGGAGCCAGCUGGAGAUGGACCAAGGUGGGAAGUGAGCCAUGGGCAGCGUGGGUCAUCCCGUAGCACCAGAUGGGCCAGGAGCGAGGGCCAGGCUCACUGGUGCCCAACUGGGCUGCUUGUGUCCCUCCAACCAAGCUGACGAGGCCAGAGCUAAUGGGAUCGCUGUGUCUCUGGGAAGCGUGAAUCCCGCAGCGCACACAGGCCGGGAGAGGCUGUUCAGCUCCCCCGUGUAGCUGGUCCUGCACCUCACCUGCAGGCAAGGAUGGAGCCGGAUGGGGCAGGCAGAUGCCAGAGGCCCAAACCUGCCAGGAGCUGCAUGCUGGAGGGAGGGAAGAGCGACAUGGUGCCCUAUUGCAGUGUGUCCUGCUGCCCUUCUCCUUCCCUGCAGGGCAGCGCUUUGACUCCCACUUUGCAGGUGUCAACGGGACGGGAUGCACCGCAGAUCUCUGGGCAGAGGUGGCUAGAGGAUGUUUCACUCCUGUGCAGAAAGGACGUCCAAGGGCCGAGUGCUCAGUCCUGGGCCAUGGGAUUUCGGGACGGGACUUCCCCAAAGUACCCCUUGGCACUGGGAAGGUGCUUGGGCAGAGCCCCAGAGGCUAUGGGGAAGGAUGGGAGCCAAGCACAGCACCGGGCCUGCUGCUGUCUUGCUGCUAGCCACCCCUAGCCGUGCUUUUAGAGGUGGUUCGAGGCUGAACUGCUUUAAAGGUAAAGCCAUCAUCUUAUUCCUGCCUCUAAAGUUUGCCCUGUCUGCCUGAUCUCUGUGCUGGCUUUGCAGGGCGCGGAGGGCGUGCUAGCAUGGGUCUGUCCGUCCGCAGAGCCUCUUGCACCAGCAGUCGUAUGCAAGAGAGAGUUUUUAUUAUCAGCCGCUUUGCUGCGGGCCAGGGUAUUAUUAGCUGGAAGGCAUCGCCUNNNNNNNNNNNNNNNNNNNNNNNNNNNNNNNNNNNNNNNNNNNNNGUGGGGCUGCAGCCACGGGAGCCUGCAGCAGCGCGGGCUGCGCUGGGCUCGGGGGCGCCGCCUGGGCUCCCGGCGGCUGCCUUGGACAGAGAGCAAGGAGCCUACAGAUUUAUGUGAAAAAGGAUGGAAAAUGUGAAUGGCUAUAAUUGGGGCUUUUUGCUUUAGUCCUGGAAAUCCUAUGUCAGUCUUGGAAACGCAGUCUGUGCCCCUAAACAUCUUAUAGUCUGAGGAAAACACGGGCUUGUCGGAGAUGCCAGCCUUGCUGGGCUAUUCCCAAGGAGCCGGCUGUUUUCUUCUCUUGUUGCCUGUAAAUCCCCGACACGCUUAAAGCCUCUCCCCUGAUAGGGAGCCUAGCGCCUGAGCUCUGAAUAAACCUGCGCAAACUCUGCGGCUUAGCA
ensembl:lncRNA